ACAUCAAAUCCAUUUUUCAUUAAAAAUUCAUAAGAGUGAAAUAUGUUAGAGAUGCAUUUGUCAAUGACUUCCAUGUAUCAAACGUUAAGAUAUUUAAAUAUACAAUCACUUUAUGCAUGAUAAAAUGUUUCGGCAUAGUCUUUCAUCACUCUUUGAAUGAAAUAUCAUUAUUAUUGCAUUGUAGUAUUCAAAAGUUCAAAAUAUUAAGAAUCUAAUAUCAUUUAUAUGAUAAAGAGAUCACAACAUCAUAAAAUUUUUAGCACAGAGUUUUGACAUCAAGGUAAG
rnacentral:lncRNA from 1 species